GAUGAACGCUGGCGGCGUGCCUAAUACAUGCAAGUCGAGCGAACAGACGAGGAGCUUGCUCCUCUGACGUUAGCGGCGGACGGGUGAGUAACACGUGUAUAACCUACCUAUAAGACUGGGAUAACUUCGGGAAACCGGAGCUAAUACCGGAUAAUAUAUUGAACCGCAUGGUUCAAUAGUGAAAGACGGUUUUGCUGUCACUUAUAGAUGGAUCCCGGCCUGAUUAGCGAGUUGGUAAGGUAACGGCUUACCAAGGGGAGGAUGCGUAGACGACCUGAGAGAGGGGUAGGCGCCACGCGAGGUGGGACACCCUCACGGCGCCUGAGGGACGGCGCAGUCGGGUACGGUACGCAACAGGGGGGAGCCUGACGGAACAACGGCGAGUGAGUGAUGAAGGUCCUCGGAUCGUAAAAACCUGUUAUUAGGGAAGAACCAAUGUGUAAGUUAAUAUGGCCGUAUUGACGGUACCUAAUCAGGAAGCCCCGGCUAACUACGUG
rnacentral:rRNA from 1 species